rnacentral:rRNA from 1 species
UGGGGAAUAUUGGACAAUGGGCGCAAGCCUGAUCCAGCAAUGCCGCGUGAGUGAUGAAGGCCCUAGGGUUGUAAAGCUCUUUCACCGGUGAAGAUAAUGACGGUAACCGGAGAAGAAGCCCCGGCUAACUUCGUGCCAGCAGCCGCGGUAAUACGAAGGGGGCUAGCGUUGUUCGGAUUUACUGGGCGUAAAGCGCACGUAGGCGGACUUUUAAGUCAGGGGUGAAAUCCCGGGGCUCAACCCCGGAACUGCCUUUGAUACUGGAAGUCUUGAGUAUGGUAGAGGUGGGUGGAAUUCCGAGUGUAGAGGUGAAAUUCGUAGAUAUUCGGAGGAACACCAGUGGCGAAGGCGGCUCACUGGACCAUUACUGACGCUGAGGUGCGAAAGCGUGGGGAGCAAACAGG